rnacentral:rRNA from 1 species
UACAGAGGGGGCGAGCGUUGUUCGGAAUUACUGGGCGUAAAGAGCGCGCAGGCGGUCGUUCAAGUCGCGUGUGAAAGCCCCCGGCUCAACUGGGGAGGGUCACGCGAUACUGCUCGACUCGAAGGCAGGAGAGGGAAGUGGAAUUCCCGGUGUAGUGGUGAAAUGCGUAGAUAUCGGGAGGAACACCAGUGGCGAAGGCGACUUCCUGGCCUGUUCUUGACGCUGAGGCGCGAAAGCUAGGGGAGCAAACGGG